UCACAUGUCUUUAAAUCACGUGUCAUUGUCACAAAAUCAAAAUCGUCUUAAAGCAGAGGAGGAAAUUUCUUAAGAUAUCCGAGAUCUGGAGCCGUUUACACCGUCCCAUCUUAUGGCGUAUGUGUCGUCAAACAGUGAAAAUCUAAAUAUUUUUUAAUUUACGCACACAAACCUAAACUGCAAAGCUUUGCGACAAACACAAUUGAUUGAGGAUUUGUGGACAAGAUGGAAAGGAGAACACCAUACUUCAUUGCAAGAAUUUCACCAGAGUAAGGAAGUCGAUAUUUGGAAGAUUAAAAAAGGCGAUGUCGUUCAGAUACACGAAGAAUCAAAAUGCGUGCAUCGAAAAGUAGUUGUUCAGGACACUGUUAAGGGCAAGGACGGUUUAGUACGCGUUUCUAUGGUGCGUACCAGUUCAAGAAUAACAAAUCGACCUGUGACGAAACUCUACCCAUUAGAAGUCAACAGCAUGGACUGUUUACUGAGACCAAGUGAACGAAGACAAUUACGUGUGUGAACAGAAGUUUAAUUUUUUCUCAUGUGUGAAAAGACUGUCAAAUUCAAUCAGUGUUAACGUAAAAUGCAAAUUUUAUAUUUUUUUUAUUUAUGAGAUAAAACUAUUUUAGUUCAUUCUGCAUGGCACAAUACAUCACAGAUAGUGAACACAUUACAUCUGGUGGCCCCGAGUAUCUUGCUGAUUUAGCUCUUCAACUGUUUCGGUUCUUAUACAUCGUCGGCUUUCAAAUAUUCGGCUUUGAGCAUUCCUGAUGAAGGUAAAUCCAGAAAAGCGAUUCGGACGCAUGACAUUAAUAACGUGUUGUUUUCAUAUUUUAGAGACAGUUUAAUUUGUUUCAAACUUUUACAUUACUUUAAGCGCCCUUCUAUUUAACCAUUAUUAACGUCACUAUUUCCUUUGUUAACGUUGUUCUAUUGUUAUGUAAUACGUUAUCAUAUUGAGUUGAGAUUACACAGUCAAACGAUAUAGACUUUGUAUACUGCCUCUCUAUCCAUUUAGUGUACUCUUCAGUCAAAACUUGAUUGUCAAUGAAAAGAAAACCAAAAUUGUGCCCUUUAUUAAUUCCGGUAAUUGUUUUGAGAACUGCAAACCUAUAAUUAUCGAAUUAUAUAUAGUAUCUCACAAAAACUACCGAUUUUACUACCGCCUCGGUGGGAUUGUGGUAAUUUGCACGCCUCGAAUUCGGAUGGUCAUGGGUUCGAAAUAGGUUGUGUCAAACUACAUAAUUCGAUUGUUUCUAAAUUAAAUAUUUUGAAGAAAAGGCUUGUUAUAUUUGACCAAACGAUUUAAAUCAGACCUUUUUCUUGACUUGUGCAAUACAUUAUUUGCAACAUAACGAAUACAAAUGCUAUGUAUUUAUUCGGUAAGGUACAUAUUCAUGAAACAUAUUUAAUUCAUACAUAAAUCCUUGAUGAUUACUUUAACUCAUUUAGUGAAAUGCCUAUUCGACAACAGCACUGUCAUAGACCAUACCACACAACCAUACCUUUUGAGUAUCACUGGUAAUACGUGAAUAACAUAUGUAUGAAUAAUUAUAUAAUCUAAAACUACAAUUUUUAAAAUGAAUAUUUCACUAACGUGGAUCAAAAUAUUUAUCUAUUUAUUAGAUUGCAUUACUCUCGGAAAUAACAUUUCUCCAGUAGUUAUGCCGGUUCUUAUUUAGAUCUAUUUUCAUUUAAUACGUGUUUCUGGGAUAUUUGUCAGUAAAUACGAUGAUUGCCGUAUGCUAAAAUUGAUGGAAACAAAACAUGUCACGGACCGAACAGUCCUCGCGUCUGAUUUUGUCUAACUGCAGAUAAACUUUUUUUCAGCGUAAAAAUUUCCAAUAUCUAUUUGCUUGCAUCUCUGAAUCUAAAUAUUACAAACAUUUAAUCACGGUAACCACAGGAAAAUUUACUUGACGACCAAUGUUUCCUUAAGUAAGGAAGAUGAAAUGAGUAGGAGUAGGUACAUGUAAUAUGAUAUUUAUUUUAGUUCCAAAAAACCAUCGGAGUCAAUGUUAUAAAAAGUAUUUACGGAAUAAAGACCUUUAUAUUAAUAAACUAGAUUCGAUAUUUUGUUCAGUCAGUUUGUUUUCGACUUAUGAAUUUGAAUAUUUCUUUUGUAUCGGUCCCCUCUCAUAUGAUAUGGAGAAAAUGAUAUAUUUAUGUUUGUAUUGAUUUGUUCGCAUAAGAAAAUGAAUUUCAGCAAUUAAAUGUUUCAACCAUAAGUGAAGCAAGCAAAAUGAUUUAUUUAAAUAUAUUUACAGAACGUUUUCCCGGUAUGUUCUAACCAAAACUAGUCGCAGCGUUUGAUAAAAAAUAAAUUUUGAACUUUAUCAAUGAUAACCCAGCAAACACACAAAGUAUUCACGACAUUAGCUGAAGGUCGUAUUCACCACUAGUAAAUAAAUUUUAGUCUUAGACGGUCAUUUUGAUUAUAAUAUCAUCUGUAAAAUCUGGACUAUAAAUAAUGCAGUCAUAUUCAGUUUCUCAGUCAAAUAUCAGACUUAUCCACUGAGGUCAAUUCGGUACUGUUCAGUAGUUUUUCAGACAACUCAGUAUGAUGUUCAUGUGUACAGGUAAAAAACAUCGACUGACCAGUCUGAACACAAAUUUUUUUGAGACAAUUGAAGUUCUAUUGUUUCUCGAAGCCAUGACAAGUGGAUGAUUAAUUAGAGAGGAACAAUGUAAAACCAGUGCCAAAUUUAAAAUGUUUAAGAACUGCAAACCUAUAAUUCUCAAAUUAUAUAUAGUAUCUCACAGAAACUACCGAUGUUACUACCGCUUCGGUGGGAUUGUAGCAAUUUGCACGCCUCGAAUUCGGAUGGUCAUGGGUUCGAAAUAGGUUGUGUCAAAUUACAUAAUUCGAUUGUUUCUAAAUUAAAUAUUUUGGGGAAAAGGCUUGUUAUAUUUGACAAAACGAUUUAAAUCAGACCUUUUUCUUGACUUGUACAAUACAUUAUUUGCAUCAUAAUGAAUACAAAUGCUAUGUACUUAUUCGGUAAGGUACAUAUUCAUGAAACUUAUUUAAUUCAUACAUAAAUCCUUGAUGAUUACUUUAACUCAUUUAGUGUAAUGCCUAUUCGACAACAGCACUGUCAUAGACCAUACCACACAACCAUACCUUUUGAGUAUCACUGGUAAUACGUGAACAACAUAUGUAUGAAUAAUUAUAUAAUCUAAAACUAUAAUUUUUAAAACGAAUAUUUCACUAACGUGAAUCAAAAUAUUUAUCUAUUUAUUAGGUUGCGUUACUCUCGGAAAUAACAUUUCUCCAGUAGUUAUGCCGGUUCUUAUUUAGAUCUAUUUUCAUUUAACACGUGUUUCUGGGAUAUUUGUCAGUAAAUACGUUGAUUGGCCGUAUGCUAAAAUUGAUGAAAACAAAACAUGUCACGGACCGAACAGUCCUCGCGACUGAUUUUGUCUAACUGCAGAUAAACUUUUUUUCAGCGUAAGAAUUUCCAAUAUCUAUUUGCUUGCAUCUCUGAAUCUAAAUAUUACAAAUAUUUAAUUACGGUAACCACAGGAAAAUUUACUUGACGACCAAUGUUUCCUUAAGUUAGGAAGAUGAAAUGAGUAGGGGUAGGAACAUGUAAUAUGAUAUUUAUUUUAGUUCCAAAAAAAUAUCGGAGUCUAUGUUAUAAAAAGUAUUUACGGAAUAAAGACCUUUAUAUUAAUCAA